AUCUUGACAGAUAUUCAAUACAUUUGUAAACAAAACAAAGUGUCAUUGCCUGAAAAAAAUACAGAGGUAUCAACAGAAAAACAGAGGAAGCUCCUGAAAGAACUCAACUCACUAUUAACUAUAUUUUAUUUGCAGGCACAGAAACUGACUCAAGCUAAUUCUAAGAAGCAAAGCCCUGAUGUUAUUAUCUCUUCUCAGUGUGUGUGUGUGUGUGGAGAGACAAAGAGGAGGAGAAAGGAAGAGGAAAUGGAGAGAUUUCUCCUGGCAUAGGUAUACAGCCAGGAUCCCAGUUUCCUUGAAUGGUGCACAGAGAUUGCUAGG
rnacentral:sRNA from 1 species